GUUCUUAGUCGGAGCCGGCUUGGCCAUUGAUCGUUCCUCCACCGUCAAGUCGCGAGCCACGCAGUGCUGCCUUUUCGCCUGCUCUGCUCAGAUGUAAGGGAGGGAAUGGUUAAGCUUCCGCGAGAAUAGUUUGUUUCAAGCUGAAAAGAAUCACGGAAAGCGCGGCGAAACUUUUUAUCAUCGGUCUUUAUUCCAUCAUCCAACCAGAGUAGCAUGGAACAUGCUUCUUUCUCCUCUCUGUACCAUGCUGAAUUAGAACUGGUGGAUUACAGCCAGAGUUGGGCGCACACGAUUCGCCAACUUAAGAUGGAGAUGGCAGUCAUAUGCUCGGCCUCGACGAGAAGCAUCUAAAAGCAGAAAAAAAAAGGUUGCAGGAAUCUGCCCAACGCCCAGCAAAUCAGUCGAGGAUCAAGACACCUCGUCAGUUUGCAUGAACCGUGAUCGCAUGAACUACAACAACUGCCACCUGGGCACAAGUGCAAGAC
rnacentral:rRNA from 1 species